rnacentral:rRNA from 1 species
UACGUAGGGUGCGAGCGUUGUCCGGAAUUAUUGGGCGUAAAGAGCUUGUAGGCGGUUUGUCGCGUCUGCUGUGAAAAUCCGGGGCUCAACCCCGGACUUGCAGUGGGUACGGGCAGACUGGAGUGUGGUAGGGGAGACUGGAAUUCCUGGUGUAGCGGUGGAAUGCGCAGAUAUCAGGAGGAACACCGGUGGCGAAGGCGGUUCUCUGGGCCUGUACUGACGCUGAGGAGCGAAAGCGUGGGGAGCGAACAGG